CAUCAAAAGAAUUCAAGAAAACAAGACACAUCUCUUAUAUACUAUCCAGCAGAAACACUCAGUUUGCUGUUCGGAACACAGAUUUCCUGAGCCACCAGCUCAGUCACCUUCCCCGCACUACAUUUCCCAGCAUCCCUCCUGAUCCACACCUGCACCCAGUCAGCUCAUCAUCUCAUUACAUGGAUUCCUGAUUUAUCUCCUGUCUUCUGUUCCUUGUGUCGUUUCCCUGGAUUCUCCACUCAGCCUGCAUCACCGUCUUCACUGCAAUACAUGGACUGUAUUACCACCAGCCAAGUUCACCAUCUGCCAUUCAGUGACUGUUUCCUCUUACCUGUUUAUGUUUUGCCCAGUUCUAUAAUACCUCCAAUAAAGCACUGUUUGUUUGCUGCUCA